GAUCCUGGCUCAGAUUGAACGCUGGCGGCAUGCCUUACACAUGCAAGUCGAACGGUAGAGGGGGCAACCCCUUGAGAGUGGCGAACGGGUGAGUAAUAUAUCGGAACGUGCCCAGUCGUGGGGGAUAACGUAGCGAAAGUUACGCUAAUACCGCAUACGAUCUACGGAUGAAAGCGGGGGAUCGCAAGACCUCGCGCGAUUGGAGCGGCCGAUAUCAGGUUAGGUAGUUGGUGGGGUAAAGGCUCACCAAGCCAACGAUCUGUAGCUGGUCUGAGAGGACGACCAGCCACACUGGAACUGAGACACGGUCCAGACUCCUACGGGAGGCAGCAGUGGGGAAUUUUGGACAAUGGACGCAAGUCUGAUCCAGCCAUUCCGCGUGCAGGAUGAAGGCCCUCGGGUUGUAAACUGCUUUUGUACGGAACGAAAAGGUUUCUAUUAAUACUAGGAGCUCAUGACGGUACCGUAAGAAUAAGCACCGGCUAACUACGUG
rnacentral:rRNA from 1 species